rnacentral:rRNA from 1 species
UACGGAGGAUGCGAGCGUUAUCCGGAUUUAUUGGGUUUAAAGGGAGCGUAGACGGCAGCACAAGUCUGGAGUGAAAUCCCAUGGCUUAACCAUGGAACUGCUUUGGAAACUGUGCAGCUGGAGUGCAGGAGAGGUAAGCGGAAUUCCUAGUGUAGCGGUGAAAUGCGUAGAUAUUAGGAGGAACACCAGUGGCGAAGGCGGCUUACUGGACUGUAACUGACGUUGAGGCUCGAAAGCGUGGGGAGCAAACAGG